AAGAAAGUCUGUCAUUUUAAAAAGUCUGUCAAUAUGUUAGGUGAAAAUGAGUACAUUGUUUUACACUAGUUAACUAGUUAAACUUUUUUCUCCAUAGGGGUUAUAGAUAACUUGUAUUUCUUUUAAUGUUUAUUUAUUUUUGAAAGAGAGAGAGAAAGAGAAGGAGGCAGGAGGGUCAGAGAAAGGGGGGACAGGGGAUCUGAAGCCGGUUCCACACUGACAGCAGUGAGCCCCAUGCAGGGCUCAAACUCAUGAACUCUGAGAUCAUGACCUGAGCUGAAGUCGGUUGCUCAACCAACUGAGCCACCCAGGUGCCCCUGGUUAUGCCUUUCUUAACAAGGUUAGAAUCUCUUUCCUAAUCUUCAGGUUAAAUUAAUAUGUAUGUAUUCUUAUAUGCUUAAUAUAUAACCUAUAUAUUUAGUAUUUUUAAAAUUUUUAUGUUAAAGAUUUUAUUUACAUAGAAAUGAAUGACUUUGGAUAUAUGGUGUGAGAAAGGUGCUUACCUUAUUUCCUCCAAAUUUUUGUCUAGGAGUUCCUGAGAGAGUUUGUAAUUGAAUUGCUUUUUCUUUUCCUUGUAUUAGAAGUCAUCGUUAUCAUGGACUGAAUGCUUAGGUGAUGUGUGUCUGUUUCUGAGCUUCAUAUAUUUCUGCUUCUUUUUAAUUUUAUUCUGCUGAAUUGGUUAUUUCUGUACCAGUAGCAUAUUGUUCAAAUUAUUACAGUUUAAUGGUGCAUUUUAUCAAAUGGUGCAUUUUAUCCAAUUCCUCAUUACACUUUAUUUUCAAAGUUUUCUAUUUUCAAUUUUAUUGUAGAUUGACUUUUACAACAUUUGUAAAAUUCUGGAAAAAAUUCUAUUAGUAUUUUGGUUGGGAUUGGAUUAGAUUUAAUGAUUACAGUGUAUACUGAGUGGACACAGAACAGAAAUCUUGAUAAUUUCUUUUUUAUUUAUUUAUUUUUUUAAUGUUUAUCUAUUUCUGAGACAGAGACAGAGCAUGAGUGGGGGAGGGGCAGAGAGAGAGGGAGACACAGAAUCCGAAGCAGGCUCCAGGCUCUGAGCCAUCAACCCAGAGCCCGACGCGGGGCUCAAACUCACAAACGGUGAGAUCAUGACCUGGGCCACAGUUGGCCGCUCAACCGACUGAGCCACCCAGGCGCCCCAUUGAUAAUUUAAUUUCUUAAAAAAUAGUUUAGUGGAGUGUGUGACUCUUGCUCUCAAGGUUGUUAAGUUUGAGCCCCACGUCUGGUGUAGAGAUUACUUUAAAAAAUAAAAUAUUAAAAAAAUGGUUUAUUACAGCAAACUACCUAAGGACCUACUGUGUGGAAGAUCCUUGUUUAGACACUGGAGACAGAUUUGAAAAGAUACGGACCUUAUCUUUUGUCCUGAUCAACUUUUAUAAUUGUACAAGUAUUUGAAGUAGAUUGCAUAGUGUAGGAGUACUGUAAGACGAUUUUGUCAAAUUUGUAUUUUAGAGUUAUUUCUCUAGAAGCGAGGAGGAAGGGGAUUUGUGCAGAGAGGGAGUGGAGGUAGAGAAAACCCUUCAGAGCCUCUGGAAGAUUUUGAAGCCCAGGCCAGAGGGCAAAUUAAGGGUGGAUCCUAAGUGUGUUUAGAAGUGACAUUGAUAGGACACAGGGAGUGGAUUGGACUUGGAAGGAGAAUGGUAUGGAGGGAGGAGUCUGAGGAUGAUUGUGGUGUUUUGGGCUUGGUCAGCUGUGGGGGGAAGUGACGCUAUGCUGGAGAUUGAAAUACAGCAGAAGGCACAGAUUUCCCAAGGCAGGUGUUAGAUUUAGUUCUAAGUACAGCUGCCAAGGGGUUGUGAAGCUAGGUAGAAGACUUGUCUGGUUCUCCCAAGAGCGUCCUUUGCCGGAAGACAUAGAGCCCUGGCAGGAUUAUUUACAGGAGAUGAGAGGGCCAAGAAGGCUUGCAUCAGAGACUAGAAGGGAUGAAGCCCGUUCAGAAGAGGAGUUAAGGCCCUGCCAGAGAGGAGAAGCCAGAGGCGGGAGAACUCACUAAAACUCUUAGCGACUAGAAGAAGGGUAUCACAGGAGAAAAGGAAUGAGAAGCGGCUGAACAGGUCAGAUGGUGCUGAGAACCCAAGUAAGAUACAGAUUGAACGGUAUUUUUGGAUUAAUCACUAGAGUUUGUGCCGUGGCUGGGUGGUUUGGGUGGAAUGGUGUCAGCGGAAGCCCCAUUGAAGUGGGAAUGGAGUGUAAAUAGAGAAGGGUUUCAUUAUUGUCACCAUUUUUUUGGUAAUAUUUCCAUAAUUGAAGAAGCCUUGAAACCGUCUGAAGGGGAAUGAAGAAUACAAUCGUUUUGCUGUCUGGUAACCUCCAAAUCUGUGUUUUUAAAUCGAAAGAUGUCUGUGUUUGUCCACUCUUUAACUUUUUCUAGCUUCUCGGCAUCAUGCUAAAUUCUGGGACUCAGUUGAUGUGUGAUAGAAUGUCUGAGAUGAAGUGAUACGCUCCCUGCCAUAACAGAUCAUUUUGCUGUCUGGUAGGAGAUGUUAGACCAACAAGUUAUUAUACAGUUAUUUAUAAUAGUUGCAGCAAGCCCAAUAAAGAACAAUUAGAUGGUACAGGAGAGUUUCCCAUACAGGGGACUUGGGAGGGACCCAGAACGCCUUCCUUGAGUAAGUGAAUUUGAGUGGAGAUCGGUUUUCCAAGUUGAAAGGCCCUGAGUUGAGGUGAAGCUUGCAACCUAUAAAACCAGUGAGAUAUGAGGUGAGAUAAGAGAGGCAGGCAGAGACGAAAUCUGUCUAGGUUGUAGGUCAUUUAAAGGGUUUUGGAUUUUAUCCUGAGAGUGAUGAUAAACUAUUUAAACACUUUCAAUAGGGGAGUAACUUGAUCGGAUCAUUAGAAUGUGAAGUUCUUGAGGGCAGUGAUUUUCUUGUGUGUCCAUUGUCUUUUCUCUGUGUCUGAAGGGGUACCUGGCACUUUGUAGAUGGCUCAGCAAUUUUCGAAUACAUGCUUUUAUAUUAAAUGAGUGAAUAGUUUUGUGUUUAACCAGAUUACUUAAACUUGUGGGAUAAGUACAAGUUGUUGUGGGAUACACUGAUUGCAGUGUAGGGUGAAGGGUUGCACAGACUAGUUCCUAGAAGGUCCCAGUGAGUGACGGUGGUGUUCCAGGAUGCUGAUAGCAAUGGUGAAGCACAUUUAGGAGGAAGAAUAAUUUUGAUGGUGGCACAUGCGCAAGAAGACAUUAAGGAUGUUUUAUGUAAAAACAACAGAGUCUUGCAGAGAUAUCUCUAAGUAAACUAUGACUUAUCCUGCCUUUUUUUCAGAUGAUUCUUCCUGCUGUGUUUUGGUUUUAGUUUUUGACAUGAUCACGCACCUCUAGAUUCCCACUUGCUCAAGUUUUAAUUUUACUUUGUUACCAAGCUCUGUGAAUCUGCCGUAGAGUAUAAAAAUGUCUUCCUGAAUCUUCUCGUCUCCAGUCUUAAGAGCCACGUCCAUGCUGGAUCCCUGUAUUAUUUCUAGCCUAGGCUGUUGCAGACCAGAACGCCUGCCCUCUUUUGCCUUUCUUACCCUAUUUAAUCUCUGCUCCAUACUUAUCCAUAAUAUAAGAUUAGAAAUGAGCAUAUCCUAAAACUCUCAGUGCCUUCCCCUUGCCCAUCAUGUGAAGUCUAACAGUACUGGUUGCUGUUUUUUUAAAGAGUACAUUGGAUUAAAUUCAAUAAAUUUUGUUGAGCUCCUGCUACUUGUCUGCAAUUUAGUCACAGGUACAUAGUCUGUGUACCUUCAUAAUUUUCUGCCCUGAUUCACCAGCUCUUACCUGGAUGAUCAUAACUGAUGGCAGUGGAUAUGUGUACUACCCUUCAGCAGCUCCACAAGCUUCCUUAAUAGCCUUUAACGCUGGCAAAUAAGACAAAUAUUCCUGCAGGAAAAUU